UUCCCUACGGGAGGCAGCAGUAGGGAAUAUUGCUCAAUGGGGGAAACCCUGAAGCAGCAACGCCGCGUGGAGGAUGAAGGUUUUCGGAUUGUAAACUCCUUUUGUUAGAGAAGAUAAUGACGGUAUCUAACGAAUAAGCACCGGCUAACUCCGUGCCAGCAGCCGCGGUAAUACGGAGGGUGCACGCGUUACUCGGAAUCACUGGCCGUAACGAGCGCGUAGGCGGGAUAGUAAGUCAGAUGUGAAAUCCUAUGGCUUAACCAUAGAACUGCAUUUGAAGCUGUUAUUCUAGAGUAUGGGAGCGG
rnacentral:rRNA from 1 species